rnacentral:lncRNA from 1 species
GCACACAUGCUUUGAUAUAAAAUUUUUCCAGAUUAGAGUGAAGUGUCAUGGAGCUUAGUACCUGCACCUAAGUCUUAAGUAACUGAAAGACAAGAUAAUUAAGUCAAGCACUAUUCCUCCUGUCUAUACUUCACCUUUGUUCUGGGGUUUUGCAUAAGUUUUCAAAAUAAAACUCAGAGUUCCCAGCAAUGAUUCUCUCAAGUCUCUCUAUUUGUGGUAUUUGUGGAUCCUUACCAAAAUGUCACUUACCUAUAACUAAUGGAAUAUUUAAGUGGAGCUCAUAGGAGUGAAAAAACAGCUCAAACAUAUGUUGUCUAAUCGAGCCAUGGAUCCAAAGGAACUCAGCAUAUAAUUAAAUCAAGAUGUGCAUGUGUAGUGGAGUAAAUGAUAAUGAUGGUGAAAAUAUAAGUAAUGAUAAAGCUUACUUCUCAUUUCUCCUCAUAUUGCUACCUCUCCUCUUCUUUGAUCUUUGCUUUGGGAGGACAUGGGCUAUCUUUUUCUCUUUUUUUAGAUGGGUAGUAGACAACCCUAAUUCUACUUUCGGACACUUGUCCAUUUUUUCUGCUCAAGUGGGCAUCUUUGUACCCCUAAUUCUACUCCGGACACUUGUCCAUUUUUACCUCUCGUCUCACUCUUAUUCUUUCUUUUCCGAGGUUCCGGGCACUUGCCCCUUUUUAUUUCCUCGCAUUUUUGCAUAACCCUUGCCUCUUCUGCAUUGAAUCUUUUUUAUAGAGAGAGAAUAACAAUAUUUGGGACAGUGAGUGAUAAUAUUUUUAGCAAUUUUAAUGAAUGGUGAUGGAUGGUGUAGUGGAUGUGUGCAAGUGAAUAUCUUAAUUUAACCACAUGAAAAGCUCCUAAGGGUCUACACAGCUCGAUCAAACUCAAUGCAAAUAUAAGUAGCAAAAGAUGUUAUAGCAAGUAUGGCUGUGGUAGGAGUUUUGUAAUGCUAGGAACUCAUCAUGUGAUUUGUAAGUUUUCAAAAUAAAUCUCCAGAACUUAGUGUAGUAGGAACAAGAUAAACAGUAGCUCAACUUUAUAUCAUGCCUUUCGCGUACCUAGACUUUAGUUUUAUGCUUCCCGAAGAUAGUAAUUUCAGUUUUAAUAAUUUCUGGAAGAACUCUAAUAUAAAAGCUAGGUACUUGUAAGUAAGCAAACAGAGCAACUGUUCAUCAUUUCCAUCAUGCAUUUUUUUUGUCUUUUUAAUUUUUUCUAGAGAUUAACACUUGGCAGAUAAAAUAAAGCACACUUAUCUACACACUCUUUUUAUUUUGUUUUUAUGUUUUAAAAUGCAGUAAAAUAAAGCAAGAAAAUAUUUAUUGGGUUUUCUAAGUUUUUCUCUUUAAGAUAAAAUAGUAAAAUAGAAAAUAAUAAAUAAGAAGAGUAAAUAAAAACUUACUUGAUAAAUUAGGGAAGAACUCCCCCAAGCUGGAUGUUGAUGUCGGUCUUACCCGACAUUCCAGAACCGCAUCAUGGUUGUGAUGUUGUCGUUCAUUGUUGUUGUAUCUUGUCUCAGCUCUUGUACUGCAGUGGCGUGAUCCUGGUUCCAUUAUUGUUGCUCUUCUAGGAGUCGUUCAUGUUCUGCUUGCGUAUUCUAGAUGUCGAGGAGAGUGUUGUCGGUACGGGUGAAGAAAGCACCAGCCUCUUGGUAGUAGUCAUUCGUGAAAGCGUAGGAGGCGUCGGAGUAUCGUCCUACAUCGAAUUGGGGCGGAGGUCUGGAUCCUGAAGCUCUAUAUGGAUCAGUGGAGUACCUGCCUCUAUGAAAAGGCGGGUUUGUCCACUAGUGAUCUUGGCUCUCCGGCCAUGUCUCCUGUGUUGGCUCUUGUGGUUGCGCAUGUCGAACCCAUAGAUCUCGAAGAACUCGGGGGUUGUAGUCGCAAUAAUGCAGGUGCGCUGCUUCUUUCGGUCCAGGAUCAGCUCCAUACCAGGUGCGUUCUCGGUGGGUGGUCAUCCUUUCAGAUGCCACUCGCUGUGGAGCUCUCUGGUUCACCGGUGUUGCUGCAAUCUCAAUCAACCGAAUCUUGGCUUUAUCAUCAUAUAGCAUAUACAUUAUGUUCCCCUCUUUCUUUAACAUCCGAGCCUGUCUAAAUGUGUCAUAGCCAUGAUAAAUUUUUAACUCAUUUGUGAAGUCCAAUGAUGAAUUAAUUUUCUAGUAAAUGAAGGUUAGAGGCUAGAUGAGUGAUAAGUGAAGUACAUCCUACUGGUCCCUAAAGACUAGGUACACUAAGCCAAUGAGAAACUAAAAGUGUAACACGUGAAGUGGGUACUUUAUUAAUAGCAGCAUAUAA